UUGAGAUUUUAGGGUUCUGAAGUUUCUAUGUCUAACCUUGGGGGAUAUUGAUUGGGAGGAGGGGAAAGGAACCUGAAAUUAGGGUUUCCUCGGAAGCGUUGUUUUUGUUGGGAAAAUAAAGAUGGUAUAUUUGGCACAAGGAAGAGGAUUAGGUUUAGAGGAUAAUGUGUAUAUUGUGUGUGAUUCAGAAGCGGUCUCGCUGGGUUGCGAUGAUGCUACCUUGGUUGGUU
rnacentral:lncRNA from 1 species